GCCGAUCUCGUGCAAUGCGCGUGCGAAGAAGAGGUGGACGAGAGAAGUAGAAAGCGCAGCAAUGGAAGAGCAGUGUAGAGGGAGAUUAGGAGAGAAUUUACAAUAGCCAAAAACACAGUAUCUAGGGGUUCUUCCUUCUUCUUCUCUCUCCUCGCGCAGAGGGAGAGAAGAAGAGGUGGCAGAUUGACGAAGCUAAAAUUGGCAAGCUGUUUUCUACUGGGUUGGGUUUUGGCCGCU
rnacentral:misc_RNA from 1 species